rnacentral:rRNA from 1 species
UGGGGAAUUUUGGACAAUGGGCGCAAGCCUGAUCCAGCUAUUCCGCGUGUGGGAUGAAGGCCCUCGGGUUGUAAACCACUUUUGUAGAGAACGAAAAGACACCUUCGAAUAAAGGGUGUUGCUGACGGUACUCUAAGAAUAAGCACCGGCUAACUACGUGCCAGCAGCCGCGGUAAUACGUAGGGUGCGAGCGUUAAUCGGAAUUACUGGGCGUAAAGGGUGCGCAGGCGGUUGAGUAAGACAGAUGUGAAAUCCCCGAGCUUAACUCGGGAAUGGCAUAUGUGACUGCUCGACUAGAGUGUGUCAGAGGGAGGUGGAAUUCCACGUGUAGCAGUGAAAUGCGUAGAUAUUGCGCAGAACUCCGAUUGCGAAGGCAGCGUACUGGCGCCUGACUGACGCUGAGGCACGAAAGCGUGGGGGAUCGAACAGGAUUAGAUACCC